UGGGGAAUAUUGGACAAUGGGCGAAAGCCUGAUCCAGCCAUGCCGCGUGUGUGAAGAAGGUCUUCGGAUUGUAAAGCACUUUAAGUUGGGAGGAAGAGCAGUUACCUAAUACGUGAUUGUUUUGACGUUACCGACAGAAUAAGCACCGGCUAACUACGUGCCAGCAGCCGCGGUAAUACAGAGGGUGCAAGCGUUAAUCGGAAUUACUGGGCGUAAAGCGCGCGUAGGUGGUUUGUUAAGUAGAAUGUGAAAUCCCCGGGCUCAACCUGGGAACUGCAUCCAAAACUGGCAUGCUAGAGUAUGGUAGAGAGUAGUGGAAUUUCCUGUGUAGCGGUGAAAUGCGUAGAUAUAGGAAGGAACACCAGUGGCGAAGGCGACUACCUGGACUGAUAAUGACACUGAGGUGCGAAAGCGUGAGGAGCAAACA
rnacentral:rRNA from 1 species